rnacentral:tRNA from 1 species
GGAGAGGUGGGUGAGUUUGGCUGAAACCAACGGUUUGCUAAACCGUCGUAGGGUAACACCUACCGCGGGUUCAAAUCCCGCCCUCUCCGCCA